GAUGAACGCUGGCGGCGUGCUUAACACAUGCGAGUCGAACGAAGCACUUAAGAUUGAUUCUUCGGAUGACGUCUUUUGUGACUUAGUGGCGGACGGGUGAGUAACGCGUGGGUAACCUGCCUCACACAGGGGGAUAACAGUUAGAAAUGACUGCUAAUACCGCAUAACCCGAUAGGAUCGCAUGAUCCAGACGGAAAAGACUUAUCGGUGUGAGAUGGACCCGCGUCUGAUUAGCUAGUUGGUGAGGUAACGGCCCACCAAGGCGACGAUCAGUAGCCGGCCUGAGAGGGUGAACGGCCACAUUGGGACUGAGACACGGCCCAAACUCCUACGGGAGGCAGCAGUGGGGAAUAUUGCACAAUGGGGGAAACCCUGAUGCAGCGACGCCGCGUGAGUGAAGAAGUAUUUCGGUAUGUAAAGCUCUAUCAGCAGGGAAGAAAAUGACGGUACCUGACGAAGAAGCCCCGGCUAACUACGUG
rnacentral:rRNA from 1 species